rnacentral:rRNA from 1 species
AGCGAACGCUGGCGGCAGGCCUAACACAUGCAAGUCGAACGGAGUCUUCGGACUUAGUGGCGGACGGGUGAGUAACACGUGGGAACGUGCCUUUAGGUUCGGAAUAACUCAGGGAAACCCGUGCUAAUACCGAAUGUGCUCUUCGGGGGAAAGAUUUAUCGCCUUUAGAGCGGCCCGCGUCUGAUUAGCUAGUUGGUGAGGUAAAGGCUCACCAAGGCUACGAUCAGUAGCUGGUCUGAGAGGAUGACCAGCCACAUUGGGACAGAGACACGGCCCAAACUCCUACGGGAGGCAGCAGUGGGGAAUCUUGCGCAAUGGGCGAAAGCCUGACGCAGCCAUGCCGCGUGGAUGAUGAAGGUCUUAGGAUUGUAAAAUCCUUUCACCGGUGAAGAUAAUGACUGUAGCCGGAGAAGAAGCCCCGGCUAACUUCGUGCCAGCCGCCGCCGUAACAC